GAAAGAUUCAUCGGAAGAGGAUGGGCAUGCGGCGCAUUAGCUAGACGGCGGGGUAACGGCCCACCGUGGCGACGAUGCGUAGGGGUUCUGAGAGGAAGGUCCCCCACACUGGUACUGAGACACGGACCAGACUCCUACGGGAGGCAGCAGUGAGGAAUAUUGGUCAAUGGGAGAGAUCCUGAACCAGCCAAGCCGCGUGAGGGAAGACGGCCCUAUGGGUUGUAAACCUCUUUUGUCGGAGAACAAAACCCGGGACGUGUCCCGGACUGCGUGUAUCCGAAGAAAAAGCAUCGGCUAACUCCGUGCCAGCAGCCGCGGUAAUACGGAGGAUGCGAGCGUUAUCCGGAUUUAUUGGGUUUAAAGGGUGCGUAGGCGGUCCGUUAAGUCAGCGGUAAAAUUGCGGGGCUCAACCCCGUCGAGCCGUUGAAACUGGCAGACUUGAGUUGGCGAGAAGUACGCGGAAUGCGCGGUGUAGCGGUGAAAUGCAUAGAUAUCGCGCAGAACUCCGAUUGCGAAGGCAGCGUACCGGCGCCAGACUGACGCUGAGGCACGAAAGCGUGGGGAUCGAACAGGAUUAGAUACCCUGGUAGUCCACGCAGUAAACGAUGAAUGCUGGUCGUCCGGGUCGAAUGAGAUCUGG
rnacentral:rRNA from 1 species